rnacentral:sRNA from 1 species
UCUUGGUCAUUUAGAGGAAGUAAAAGUCGUAACAAGGUUUCCGUAGGUGAACCUGCGGAAGGAUCAUUAUCGUACAACGGGGGGCCCGAGGGCUGUCGCUGACUCCAAGGGGGUCGUGCACGCCCUCGGCGUCAUCCCAACAACCAAUCCAUCUCACCUUUGUGCAUCACUGCGCGGGUUUCGAUCAGGUCUAUUGACCUGAAAGGGGCUCACGCAUUACAAACAAACACCCUUNUGAUUCAGUGUAGAAUGUUCUUUGCCUUUGUAUGCAAUCAAUACAACUUUCAACAACGGAUCUCUUGGCUCUCGCAUCGAUGAAGAACGCAGCGAAAUGCGAUACGUAAUGUGAAUUGCAGAAUUCAGUGAAUCAUCGAAUCUUUGAACGCACCUUGCGCCCCUUGGCAUUCCGAGGGGCACACCCGUUUGAGUGUCGUGAAAUCCUCAACCUUUUUCUGUUUCUCUCUGAUUCGGAGAAAGGCUUGGAACUUGGAGGCUUUUGCUGGCCUCUCCCUCGAAACCAGCUCCUNUUAAAUGCAUUAUCAGGGUCUCCGGACCUGAUCCCUUGAGGGGAGUCUUUAUGCCUNUUAAAGGGGGGAGGCACACUUCAAAAAGGGGAGGCUCUCUCGUCUUAGAGAGNGGAUGAGCAUAUCUCUAAGCGCAGAGGCCUNUGG